GACGAACGCUGGCGGCGUGCCUAAUACAUGCAAGUAGAACGCAGUUGCGAACGGGUGAGUAACGCGUAGGUAACUGCCUCAUAGCGGGGGAUAACUAUUGGAAACGAUAGCUAAUACCGCAUACUGUGAGAUGGACCUGCGUUGUAUUAGCUAGUUGGUGAGGUAAAGGAUCACCAAGGCGACGAUACAUAGCCGACCUGAGAGGGGGGACGGGCAAACUGGGACUGGGAAACGGCCCAGACUCCUUCGGGAGGCAGCAGUAGGGAAACAUCGGCAAUUGACGGAAGUCUGACCGCGCAACGGCGGGUGAGUGAAGAAGGUUUUCGGAUCGUAAAGCUCUGUUGUUAGAGAAGCGGUAACUACCCAGAAAGGGACGGCUAACUACGUGCCAGCAGCCGCGGUAAUUC
rnacentral:rRNA from 1 species